UACAGGGGGUGCAAACGUUGCUCGGAAUCAUUGGGCGUAAAGCGUGCGCAGGCGGUCUGUUAAGACCGAUGUGAAAUCCCCGGGCUUAACCUGGGAACUGCAUUGGUGACUGGCAGGCUUUGAGUGUGGCAGAGGGAGGUAGAAUUCCACGUGUAGCAGUGAAAUGCGUAGAGAUGUGGAGGAAUACCGAUGGCGAAGGCAGCCUCCUGGGCCAACACUGACGCUCAUGCACGAAAGCGUGGGGAGCAAACAGG
rnacentral:rRNA from 1 species